CUCUCGCUCGCAGGAUUAGCGCAGUGGGAGGAGGCAGAGGUGAUCAGGUCCUGCCCGGCCUGGGACUUUUUGUCUUGAGGUGGGGAGGGGAGAAAUGGGAAGAGGUGGAGUAGCGGUUUUAGCCCGCUCUGCGGCUGCGAGGUUUAGAUCCGAGAUUAACCUCUCCCGCGAUAGGUGAAGCCCUACCGGAGCAGAAAGCUGUUCCACCUGCACCAAGAAUGCGCGCUGGAGACGGUUGCCCCGGAGGCCCUGGCCCGAGAGAAAACCAGUCCCCGCUGCCCGCGCCUCCCGGUAGCGCGCUCCCUGCGCCUCUCCCGCCGGACACUCAGCAGACGCCGGAGGCCGGGAGGCUAAGACUGGGCGCGUCGCAGGCCGGGACCGCGGCAGAGGCUGCUGUGCCGACCGAGGAGAGGGCUCUGCCGCCCCCACUUGCCCUGGGUGUCGAGAGCCCACUCCAGACGCGGCUCUUCUGAGGCUCAAUUCAAGCCACCCAGGCCUGAAUCCAGGGUGCUCUCUCUAAGUCGGUGUCCAACCCAGGGGCCUGUAAAUGUUGGAACCUAGGAUGUAGGAUGGGAGCGGUGAAGGGAUGGUCCUCUUGCCCAGCCCAGAUUAAGACUGGGGUUCAUCUGGAGGACUCUACUUACACCCUCCCGGUCCCCUCGCCCUCCCCCACACACAGCUGCCUCUCCCCAGGAUAUGCGCGGCACAGUGAAUUUAGUGGCUUUGAAAGGUAUAGUAUUUGUGGCAUCCUUAUAUGGAUAAUGCCCAAUGAUGCCUGCACCCUGUAACAGUUUAGGAAGGCCUGAAGUCGCACACUGGGUCCUGGCUGCUGUAACUGGAGACCCCCAGAAGAUCCCCUGCAAGCAGCCACCAGCCUGCUGUCAAGCCAAUAAUAAAAGCUCAGCACAAACAGAGAUGAAGAAACUCACAUUGAGAAGAGUUAAGAAACUUGCUCAAAUUCAUAAAAUCAAGAGGAGAGGUGGAUGUAAUUAAAACCAAGCCUUUGACAAAUCAAGGAAACUUUUCAUGUCGUCACUGCUACCUCAUCCGUGGCCACAAAAUCUCAGUCAAGAUCUAGGGUUGAUGCAAACUGGAGUCAUUCCCAGUAUCCACAACACUUCUCUUGUGUCUUCUGGGAAGCUAAGAUUUCAUCCCUUGAGUUUCAUUGCUGCCUGAAUCUAUUGCAUCUUACUUGAGAGCCUCAUUUAUUCCAUGCUACAAGAUCCAUGCAAGAUUCCAGGAUCACCAAGAUCACUCCAGGAAAUGAAGAGAUCAAGAGAGCUGCCAUGGACAAGUCUCUGCCUCUCUGCUUCAGCUUCUAGUUCCCUCAUAAUAUAGGACAAUUCCUUGUACAAAACGGGUGCUCCAUAAAUAUUUGUUGAAUGAACUUCUUUUCUAGAUGGUGACGUGAUGGCAACCUUAAAACCUCAUGCCAUUCUUCCUCAUCAUUCUCUGGGUUAAAGAAAGGCCUAAACUUUUCCAGCAAUUGACAGAGCCUUGGUGUGUCAUAUUGCCUCAUUGUGCCUCAGUUGUCCCAUCACUCCCACUUGGGAGAGGAUAUGAAUGAAUGGAUCUUAGUUUUAAAGAGCUGAAGGUGGAAUUCAGUUGCCUGAUUGCUAGCAUAGAUAGUACCUCUAUGUAUGUGCCAUUUCUUUUUUUUUUUUUUUUUGAUUGUUUAGUUCAUUUAUUUGUGUAACCAAUUUUGAUUAAAAGCUGAACACUGUGCUGGAAGCUGAGGCUUCACUGGUGUAGGGAUGCCAUUUCUGCCCCCUAAGAAUCACAAGGGCUAGAGCAUUGCAGGAGGUCCUUACAGCAACAAUUACCAUGAACUAAGCCUUUGCUUAGUGCAGGCACUGUGUUAAGAGGGAAGUUAGUAAUGUUCUUCCCAUUUUAGAAUUUUGUAACUAUAAAAAUAUAAUGCAGGCUUAAGAAAGAGCAGUUUAAAAUGACAUAAAUAAACCUUUGUUUUAGGGAAA
rnacentral:lncRNA from 1 species